AUUGAACGCUGGCGGAAUGCUUUACACAUGCAAGUCGAGCGGCAGCACGGGGGCAACCCUGGUGGCGAGCGGCGAACGGGUGAGUAAUACAUCGGAACAUGCCCAAUCGUGGGGGAUAACACUUCGAAAGAAGUGCUAAUACCGCAUACGUCCUGAGGGAGAAAGCGGGGGAUCGCAAGACCUCGCGCGAUUGGAGUGGCCGAUGUCAGAUUAGCUAGUUGGUGGGGUAAAGGCCUACCAAGGCAACGAUCUGUAGCUGGUCUGAGAGGAUGAUCAGCCACACUGGGACUGAGACACGGCCCAGACUCCUACGGGAGGCAGCAGUGGGGAAUUUUGGACAAUGGGGGCAACCCUGAUCCAGCCAUUCCGCGUGAGUGAAGAAGGCCUUCGGGUUGUAAAGCUCUUUCGGCAGGAACGAAACGGCGAGCUCUAACAUAGCUUGCUAAUGACGGUACCUGAAGAAGAAGCACCGGCUAACUACGUG
rnacentral:rRNA from 1 species